GAUGAACGCUAGCUACAGGCUUAACACAUGCAAGUCGAGGGGCAGCGGUAUCGAAAGCUUGCUUUCGGUAGCCGGCGACCGGCGCACGGGUGAGUAACGCGUAUCGAACCUGCCUCAUACUCGGGAAUAGCCUUGCGAAAGUAAGAUUAAUGCCCGGUGUUUUCAGAGUCCCGCAUGAGGCUUUGAACAAAGAUUUAUCGGUAUGAGAUGGCGAUGCGUCCCAUUAGCUUGUUGGCGGGGUAACGGCCCACCAAGGCAUCGAUGGGUAGGGGUUCUGAGAGGAAGGUCCCCCACAUUGGAACUGAGACACGGUCCAAACUCCUACGGGAGGCAGCAGUGAGGAAUAUUGGUCAAUGGGCGGAAGCCUGAACCAGCCAAGUAGCGUGCAGGAAGGCGGCCCUCCGGGUUGUAAACUGCUUUUAGUUGGGAAUAAAACGGGGCUCGUGAGCCCCCUUGCAUGUACCAUCAGAAAAAGGACCGGCUAAUUCCGUG
rnacentral:rRNA from 1 species